rnacentral:rRNA from 1 species
CCGCUAUUGGAGUUCGAUUAAGCCAUGCGAGUCGAGAGUCUUAGGGACUCGGCGUACCGCUCAGUAACACGUGGGUAACCUGCCCUAUGCUGGGGAAUAACCUCGGGAAACUGAGAAUAAUGCCCCAUAGUCCACAAUGCCUGGAACGGUUUGUGGAUCAAAGCUCCGGCGGCAUAGGAUGGGCCUGCGGCGUAUCAGGUUGUAGGGGGUGUAACGUACCCUCUAGCCAUCAACGCGUACGGGUGUUGGGAGACAUAGCCCGGAGAUGGAUUCUGAGACACGAAUCCAGACCCUACGGGGUGCAGCAGGCGCGAAAACUUGGCAAUGCGAGAAAUCGUGACCAGGGAACUCCAAGUGGCUGGGGUAAGACCCAGUCUUUUCUUGACUCUUCAAAGGUCUUGGAAUAAGGGGUGGGUAAGGACGGUGCCAGCCGCCGCGGUAAUACCGGCGCCUCAAGUGGUAGUCGAUUUUAUUGGGCCUAAAACGUCCGUAGCCUGUUUGGUACAUUCGUGGGUAAAUCAACCAGCUCAACUGGUUGAAUUCUGCGAGCACGGCCAGACUUGGGACCGGGAGAGGUGUGGGGUACGCUCAGGGUAGGGGUAAAAUCCUGUCAUCCUGAGCGGACCACCUGUUGCGAAGGCGCCACACUAGAACGGAUCCGACGGUCAGGGACGAAGCCUAGGGGCACGAACCGGAUUAGAUACCCGGGUAGUCCUAGGUGUAAACGCUGUGGACUUGGUGUUGGGGACUCUCCGAGAUUCCUCAGUGCCGAAGCGAAGGUGAUAAGUCCACUGCCUGGGGAGUACGGUCGCAAGGCUGAAACUUAAAGGGAUUGGCGGGGGAGCACCGCAACCUGAGGAUUGUGCGG